GGGUGCGAUCAUACCUGCACUAAUGCACCGGAUCCCAUCAAAACUCCGCAGUUAAGCGUGCUUGGGCGAGAGUAGUACUAGAAUGGGUGACCUCCUGAGAAGUCCUCUUGUAGCACCCC
rfam:Gossypium raimondii scaffold_860_contig_2, whole genome shotgun sequence.